AGCGGCGCUGGGCAGAGGACAUGGGCGAUGGCCGGCACAGGUGUGCGGUGCAUCCCAGCACAACCACGUACGUGCCAACAGCCAGCACGCAGGUGUAAUGCCUGCUACACCCCUACAACACCCAGCACACCCCCAUGCGCCAUAUCCAGCACCAACGUGUGCAGGGCCUGAUGCACAUUACUUUUGCAACGCCCAGUGCACACACACGCACACGCUCUCUGUACACACACUCUGUACAUACACACACACAACGCCCAGCACACAGUGUGCAAUGCUCUGUGCACACACACACACAUUCGUGCAGUGCUCUAUACACACACAUGCAGUGCUCUGCAUGCACACAUGCUCAUGCAGUGCUGUAUGAACACACAGGCUUGUGCAAUGCUUUAUACAUGCACAUGCAGCGCGCUAUAUGCACAGAAGCAAUAGUGUAUGCACACACAUGCAAUGCUCUGUAUGCAUAUGCACUCAUACAGUGCUCUUGUGCAGUGCUUUAUACACGCACAUGCAAUGCUCCAUGCAUACUCUCGUGCAGUGCUCUACACACAGAUGCAAUGCUGUAUACACACACUUGUGCAAUGCUUUAUGCACGCAUGUGCAACGCUGUACAUACAUCCAUGCAAUGCUCUGUACAUGCUUGUGCAAUGCUCUAGGCAUACACGUGCAGUGCUGUUUGCACACACACUUGUACAAUGCUCUAUGCACACGUGCAAUGCUAUACAUAUACACAUCUGUGCAAUGCUCCAUUCACACUUGUGCAAUGCUCUAUGCACACGCAUGCAAUGCUCUGUAUGCACGCACGUGCAACACUGUACAUACACACAUCCGUGCAAUGCUCAUCCACACAUGUACAACACUGUACAUACCCACAUCCAUGCAAUGCUCUACGCAUACACGUGCAAUGCUCUAUGCACACACACUUGUGCGUUGCUCACGCACACACGUGCAACGCUGUACACUACACACAUCCAUGCGAUGCUCCGUACACACUCAUGCAAUGCUCUAUGCACACACACUUGUGCGUUGCUCACGCACACAUGUGCAACGCUGUACACUACACACAUCCAUGCGAUGCUCCGUACACACUCGCGCAAUGCUCUAUGCACACACACCUGUGCAACGCUCACGCACACCUGUGCAACGCUGUACAUACACACACCCGUGCAACGCUCCAUGCACAAACACAUGCAAUGCUUUGUNNNNNNNNNNNNNNNNNNNNNNNNNNNNNNNNNNNNNNNNNNNNNNNNNNNNNNNNNNNNNN
rnacentral:lncRNA from 1 species